UCUUCAUGCACAACUAGGAGCAGACGUGUGUUCCCUUCUGCAGCCAUCCAUUUGUUUAGGCUUGUGAAAGCAUCAUCUUUUCACUCUGGUUUAUGGAUGCAUCAUCAACGGCAUCUUAUUAAAGGGCAAGACUAAGAUGAUUCCUGACUCUGCAUUUCUUAAACAGAGUUUGGCUGGCUGUUAAUUUGUGUCGCCACACGAAGAGAACAGUACACUCCCAAUAACUUGUGGCAUCUGUAGAUGUUAUACGGUACCUCUGCAUUUAUGUGGGCCAUCUUGAAUAAAGAUAUUAUUAUUAUGA